rnacentral:rRNA from 1 species
CAGACGGGUGAGGAAUACAUCGGAAUCUACUCUGUCGUGGGGGAUAACGUAGGGAAACUUACGCUAAUACCGCAUACGACCUACGGGUGAAAGCAGGGGAUCUUCGGACCUUGCGCGAUUGAAUGAGCCGAUGUCGGAUUAGCUAGUUGGCGGGGUAAAGGCCCACCAAGGCGACGAUCCGUAGCUGGUCUGAGAGGAUGAUCAGCCACACUGGAACUGAGACACGGUCCAGACUCCUACGGGAGGCAGCAGCG